ACGCUGGCGGCGUGCCUAACACAUGCAAGUCGAGCGAGAAAGUGGAGCAAUCCAUGAGUAAAGCGGCGCACGGGUGAGUAACACGUGACUAACCUACCCUUGAGUGGGGAAUAACCUGGGGAAACCCGGGCUAAUACCGCAUAACACCUACGGGUCAAAGGAGCAAUUCGCUUAAGGAGGGGGUCGCGGCAGAUUAGUUAGUUGGCGGGGUAAAGGCCCACCAAGACGAUGAUCUGUAUCCGGCCUGAGAGGGCGCACGGACACACUGGAACUGAAACACGGUCCAGACUCCUACGGGAGGCAGCAGUGGGGAAUUUUGCGCAAUGGGGGAAACCCUGACGCAGCAACGCCGCGUGGAGGAUGAAGUCCCUUGGGACGUAAACUCCUUUCGACCGGGACGAUAAUGACGGUACCGGAAGAAGAAGCCCCGGCUAACUUCGUGCCAGCAGCCGCGGUAAUACGAGGGGGGCGAGCGUUGUUCGGAAUUAUUGGGCGUAAAGGGUGCGUAGGCGGUUCCGCAAGUCCUGUGUGAAAUCUUCGGGCUCAACUCGAAGCCUGCACGGGAAACUGCGGGGCUUGA
rnacentral:rRNA from 1 species